CAGUAGUAAUAGUACAGCUUUCUUUGUCUCUUGAUCUCUUCCAUGAAACGGCCCCAUCUUCCCCAGAACUCACCGUUCAAGAUCUUUUUUUUGUUGCCCACCACUGAUCCCCAAUUCAGGUAGUCUCCGCUCCCAUGUCAAAAAGAAAGAAAAAGUUAGUGUCCGCUCGCAGGAAUCCACCAAAAUCAAAUCGCUGACUACAUCCCUCACGUAUGAAUGGAUCUUCAACUGGAGAGUUAGGUACUGCUGUUGGACUUGAGGAACAUGGCGGACGGCCGGGGGGAAGAGGGGGACGCACCUUCUAAUCUUCUAUCCGACCAGUAGCUCGGGGCUUGCGGCUAUUGGGGCCGGCGGUCUGUCAGUCGUUACCUGUAGAAGAUAGAGGGUCUGGUGCCUGGCGUUGCUGUGAAUCGGCGACGACGCGGCCAUGAAUUGUGUCAGCUUCAUAUGGUGCUCCCAGGUUGAGGGAGCUUUCAUGAUCAGGUCUUUUGCAUGCCUUGCUCAUAAUUUUUUCUCCAUUCCAUAGCAUUAGUUUUGAAAAAUAAAUUAUUUGUACAACCAUAGCAUUAACAGGCCUAUUUUUGGUUUUGCUCAUAUCAUAUAUAAACAUAUUUUUAGUAUUAGUCAUUCCCUGGCAUAGAUUUGAGUGCUUACCUGCAGAAAAUUGCAGUAUUAUUUAGAUUCGAGGGUUAUAAUUUCUCAUCGUUUCCUGUUUGUUUAUAGAGAUUUUCUGAGUGCUAUUGUUUGAAGAGGUAACACCAAGGAUCUCAUACUGAGGCUCAUAGCAGUUGUGUUUUGUUUGUAUAAUUAGCGACCUGAUGGUUGUCUGAUGAGAUAGAUUUUGCACUGGUCAUAUAUAUUUAUGGAUCCAUAGGAUGUUACCCAAUGGUCUGGUUUUGAAAACUUCAGUACUGCAGUUGGUGUUGUUAUGCACUUUUGUACUUUAAACCAUGGUACAUUUACAAUUUCAGCAAUUGUCUAUUUCAAUCUAUCUCCUAUCUAAAGUACUGAUGAAACAUAUAUUGUCAGGUUGUGCUUGUUAGUCAAGAAGCUGAUUUUUUAUGCUCACCCCACUUUUUCCGGGCUUGUGACUGGCAUCGGAAGUCUCAUCUCUUCAUUAGGGAGCAUGUUUCCAGGUUCCUGUAUCUCUGAAGAAUUUGGAAGUUCUAUUCAUAGGUAUUCAUUAAGUGUAUUUCCGACUUGUCCCAUGAUCUUCUCUAUUUCUUCUGUGAAGCUAUGAGGCAAAGUCAGGAUUGUUCAUGAGUUUUCUCUGUUUGUACUCCAUGUUACUUCCCAGCAUCCCCACAAUAGUUGGCAUAUGAUGGUUUUGCAAAGAUGUCUUAGAUUGUUUACAGUUGCCCAAUUUCAUGUCUCAUUGAUACACUCAAGACACGCUUUUUCGUCAUCAAGAAACCCUAGUGCUUCACAAGCUGCUUUGUAUGAGGGAUCUCAGAAGUGUAUCUCAAACUGGAAUAUUCUCCACCAUGUGUCGUUUCCUGAUGUAUACAUGCAUUCGAGAGACAUGGAUGAUUCGAUUGAAUCAAUCAAGCACCCGCCGAUGCUGCAAGUUGCUGUUGACGCUGAUGCUGGGAUACAUGAUAACGACCAGCAAUGUCUUUUCCCAUGGCCUCGAUGCAGACGCAUGUGUUAGACCAUUUGACAGCCUUCUUCAUGUCAUUGAGCUCCUCGUGGUGCCGGAGACGUUGGCGUCGGCACCGGCUGGCUGCAGUUCAGGUCGAUCCUUCGCUCGGUGACAGCCCUUCCCUUCAUGAUCUGACUAAAUAGGGAUAUGUUUUAGGCGAAAAAUAACAGGGCACCUGAUGAAACCUUCAUAGAUUGCAAUAUUCUACCGUAUAGGAUACAGCUUCUCCAUCUGUCGUGUCCAUCACGACUGGCUAUCUUUCAGUGAGCACUAUUGGAUAGCCUUUCUAUUAGUUUUCAUGUAGAUUUGUACGCAGAUGAAGCAAAACUUUUGGUAUCAGCGAAGUCGACUAAAUAGGGCAUAUGUUUUAGGCGAAAAAUAACAGGGCACCUGAUGAAACCUUCAUAGAUUGCAACCGUAUAGAUACGGCUGCUCCAUCUGUCGUGUCCAUCGCGACUGGCUAUCUUUCAGUGAGCACUAUUGGAUAGCCUUUCUAUUAGUUUUCAUGUAGAUUUGUACGCAGAUGAAGCAAAACUUUUGGUAUCA